AAGUCGUAACAAGGUUUCCGUAGGUGAACCUGCGGAAGGAUCAUUACAAAUCCAAAAAUAUAUACAUGUUGAAAUGUGGGGGUGAGGGAGGGUAGAGAGGAGGAGGAGGGUGAGAGAGAGAGAGAGGGUCAAAUCUCUCUUUCUUUCUCGUUCUCUUUUACUUACUACGACGACCCACCCUCAAUAACACACACUUUUGUUGAUCAGUUGUAUAAAAUUAAAAAUUGACACAACUUAUAACAAUGGAUCUCUAGGCUCUU
rnacentral:misc_RNA from 1 species